rnacentral:lncRNA from 1 species
UCCUUGACUUGGUUGAGGUUAGAUACUCGAAGACACGAACUGAAUGCACGUCUCCGAUGGCCGGCUUGUCUUCCUCAUGAGCUAGAGCAAAGCCAUGAUUAUCAUGCUAAGCAGAUCAAAAGGAAAAGAAGAAAAAGAGUCUCGAACACCUAGCAUAUUUUUGGGGUUUUGGGUUAUGUUGGGAGUCAUAUUUUGUUGUAGAAAGUUUGGAACAGACUAACUGUUUAGGAAUGAUUUUAUCUGAGACUCGAGCACCUAGCAUAUUUUUGGGGUUUUGGGUUAUGUUGGGAGUCGGAUUUUGUUGUAGAAAGUUUGAAACAGAACUGUUUAGAAAUAAUUGUAUCUGAGACUGAAUGGGCGCCGAACCGGCCCAUAGCCAUCCCUAAUCUCAGUGUUAUAGUUUCA